UACAGAGGUCCCAAGCGUUGUUCGGAUUCACUGGGCGUAAAGGGUGCGUAGGUGGUGGGGUAAGUCGGAUGUGGAAGCUCGGAGCUCAACUCCGAAAUGGCAUUGGAAACUACCCUGCUAGAGGGUCGGAGGGGGGACUGGAAUUCUCGGUGUAGCAGUGAAAUGCGUAGAUAUCGAGAGGAACACCAGUGGCGAAGGCGAGUCCCUGGACGACUCCUGACACUGAGGCACGAAAGCUAGGGGAGCAAACAGG
rnacentral:rRNA from 1 species